GGGGGGAGGUAGGAGGGGGUGGGGACCUACCUUUGGCGCCAAAGUUCUAGAUCACGUGGGCCGCCGAGAGGAGCGCCCAGCAGCUGGAGUCCAGCAAGAUAGUCGUGACUGCAGGGGCGAGGGGCGGGGUGCCUCACUUCUCCCCGCCUCCGCACCGCUGCGGGGGACCUGCUGGCUCCGGUGAGUGUGGCGCGGUGCAGCGGGUCCUCGCAGUGUCCCAGGGACUCGGGGAGCGCACGGCAGGUAUCUCAGAAGCCCUGUGCUCAAGAAGGGAGGUAGCAUCAUCUUGGCCGGCUUGGAGUUUCCGGAGUUUCCAGGCAUAUGAUUUGUCAGAGGGAAGACUGAGUGUUGAGUACCACCCUGGUAUGCACCGAAUCAAGAUAGUAAGAGGAGAGCUUAGUUACUGCCUCAGAUAACAUCGGAUACUCCUUUAUUAGCACCGAAAUUCCCAAGGUAAUGGCCCAUUCUUAAUAAGAAGUAUAGUUCAUUUUUUAAAAGUUUAAUGAUUUAUUUUGAGAGUGUGUGUGUGUGUGUGUGUGUGUGUGUGUGUGUGCACGAGCAAGGGAAGGACAGAGAGAGAGAGAGAGAGGGAAAGAGAGAAUCCCAGAUAGGCUUCACUCUGUCAGCGUAGAGCCCAACACAGUGCUCAAACCCACCAACCGUGAGAUCAGGACCUGAGCUGAAAACAAGAGUCAGAUGCUUACCUGACUGAGCCGCCUAGGUGCCCCAAAUGUAAGUUCAUUUUAUUUUAUUUUUUUAAUUUUUUUUUAACAUUUUAUUUAUUUUUGAGACAGAGAGAGACAGAGCAUGAAUGGGGGAGGGGCAGAGAGAGAGGGAGACACAGAAUCGGAAGCAGGCUCCAGGCUCUGAGCCAUCAGCCCAGAGCCUGACGCGGGGCUCGAACUCACGGACCUCGAGAUCGUGACCUGAGCUGAAGUUGGCCGCUUAACCGACUUAAGUUAACCGCUUAACUUAAAUGCCACCCAGGCGCCCCUGUAAGUUCAUUUUAAAGAGCAAAUGUGAUUAUUCAGUUUAGCAUUCCCAGGGGUUUAAUAAUGUGG
rnacentral:lncRNA from 1 species